GGGGCAACCUGGCGGCGAGCGGCGAACGGGUGAGUAAUGCAUCGGAACAUGUCCAAUUGUGGGGGAUAGCCCGGCGAAAGCCGGAUUAAUACCGCAUGAGCCCGAGAGGGGAAAGUGGGGGACCGCAAGGCCUCACGCGAUUGGGUUGGCCGAUGUCCGAUUAGCUAGUUGGCGGGGUAAAGGCCCACCAAGGCGAUGAUCGGUAGCUGGUCUGAGAGGAUGAUCAGCCACACUGGGACUGAGACACGGCCCAGACUCCUACGGGAGGCAGCAGUGGGGAAUUUUGGACAAUGGGGGAAACCCUGAUCCAGCCAUUCCGCGUGAGUGAAGAAGGCCUUCGGGUUGUAAAGCUCUUUUGUCCGGAACGAAACGGCUACGACUAAUACUCGUGGCUACUGACGGUACCGGAAGAAUAAGCACCGGCUAACUACGUGCCAGCAGCCGCGGUAAUACGUAGGGUGCGAGCGUUAAUCGGAAUUACUGGGCGUAAAGCGUGCGCAGGCGGUUUUGCAAGCCAGAUGUGAAAUCCCCGGGCUCAACCUGGGAAUGGCAUUUGGGACUGCAAGGCUGGAGUGUGGCAGAGGAGACUGGAAUUCCUGGUGUAGCAGUGAAAUGCGUAGAUAUCAGGAGGAAUACCGAUGGCGAAGGCAGGUCUCUGGGCUGACACUGACGCUCAUGCACGAAAGCGUGGGGAGCAAACAGGAUUAGAUACCCUGGUAGUCCACGCCCUAAACGAUGUCGACUGGUUGUUGGGGGGUUUGACACUCUCAGUAACGAAGCUAACGCGUGAAGUCG
rnacentral:rRNA from 1 species